rnacentral:rRNA from 1 species
GAAAACAACUAUUGCUGGCCUAAAUACACCAGAUCCCACCUGAUCUUGGAAGCUAAGUAGGGCCAACUCUAGUUAGUACUUGGAUGGGAAGCCACCAAUGACUACCUCAUACUGUAGGCU